rnacentral:rRNA from 1 species
GUCUACGGCCAUGCUACCCUGAACAAGCCCGAUCCCAUCUGAUCUCGGAAGCUAAGCAGGGUCGUGCGUGGUUAGUACUUGGAUGGGAGACAGCCUAGGAAGACCAGGUGCUGUAGUCG